rnacentral:rRNA from 1 species
CCUACGGGGGGCAGCAGUGAGGAAUAUUGGUCAAUGGGCGUAAGCCUGAACCAGCCAAGUAGCGUGCAGGAUGACGGCCCUAUGGGUUGUAAACUGCUUUUAUGCAAGGAUAAAGUCACCCACGUGUGGGUGUUUGCAGGUAUUGCAUGAAUAAGGACCGGCUAAUUCCGUGCCAGCAGCCGCGGUAAUACGGAAGGUUCUGGCGUUAUCCGGAUUUAUUGGGUUUAAAGGGAGCGUAGGCCGUUUUUUAAGCGUGUUGUGAAAUGUACCGGCUCAACCGGUGAUGUGCAGCGCGAACUGGUAGACUUGAGUACGCAGUAAGCAGGCGGAAUUCGUGGUGUAGCGGUGAAAUGCUUAGAUAUCACGAAGAACUCCGAUUGCGUAGGCAGCUUGCUGUAGCGUAACUGACGCUGAAGCUCGAAGGUGCGGGUAUCGAACAGGAUUAGAUACCCUUGUAGUC